ACGAGGAGCUUGCUCCUCUGACGUUAGCGGCGGACGGGUGAGUAACACGUGGAUAACCUACCUAUAAGACUGGGAUAACUUCGGGAAACCGGAGCUAAUACCGGAUAAUAUAUUGAACCGCAUGGUUCAAUAGUGAAAGACGGUUUUGCUGUCACUUAUAGAUGGAUCCGCGCCGCAUUAGCUAGUUGGUAAGGUAACGGCUUACCAAGGCAACGAUGCGUAGCCGACCUGAGAGGGUGAUCGGCCACACUGGAACUGAGACACGGUCCAGACUCCUACGGGAGGCAGCAGUAGGGAAUCUUCCGCAAUGGGCGAAAGCCUGACGGAGCAACGCCGCGUGAGUGAUGAAGGUCUUCGGAUCGUAAAACUCUGUUAUUAGGGAAGAACAAAUGUGUAAGUAACUAUGCACGUCUUGACGGUACCUAAUCAGAAAGCCACGGCUAACUACGUGCCAGCAGCCGCGGUAAUACGUAGGUGGCAAGCGUUAUCCGGAAUUAUUGGGCGUAAAGCGCGCGUAGGCGGUUUUUUAAGUCUGAUGUGAAAGCCCACGGCUCAACCGUGGAGGGUCAUUGGAAACUGAAAAACUUGAGUGCAGAAGAGGAAAGUGGAAUUCCAUGUGUAGCGGUGAAAUGCGCAGAGAUAUGGAGGAACACCAGUGGCGAAGGCGACUUUCUGGUCUGUAACUGACGCUGAUGUGCGAAAGCGUGGGGAUCAAACAGGAUUA
rnacentral:rRNA from 1 species